rnacentral:rRNA from 1 species
CCUUUUGCAUCAUGAUUUAGCAAGAACAAUUAGACAAAAAGCCUUUUAGCCUACUUUCCCGAAACCAAACGAGCUACUUCGGAGCAGCAUAUCAGAGCCAACCCACCUCUGUGGCAAAAGAGGGGGAAGACUCCCAAGUAGCGGUGAUAAGCCUACCGAGUUUGGUGAUAGCUGGUUGUCCAAGAAAAGAACCUAAAUUCUGCAUUAAUUUUUCAACUCGAUAACAAAAUCUUUUUUAACAAAAUCACCUGUAAAAAUUAAUAGUUAUUCAAAAAAGGGACAGCUUUUUUGAAUUAAGAAACAACUUUAUUAGGAGGGUAACGAUUAUAAUUCACAAAGGAUCGCUCCUCAGUGGGCCUAAAAGCAGCCACCU